rnacentral:rRNA from 1 species
AAACGGGUGCGGAACACGUACACAACCUUCCGAUAAGUGGGGAAUAGCCCAGAGAAAUUUGGAUUAAUACCCCGUAACAUAUAGAGUAGGCAUCUUCUUUAUAUUAUAGUUUCGGCGCUUAUUGAUGGGUGUGCGUCUGAUUAGGUAGUUGGCGGGGUAACGGCCCACCAAGCCUACGAUCAGUAGCUGAUGUGAGAGCAUGAUCAACCACACGGGCACUGAGACACGGGCCCG